UGCGUAGGUGGUUGUUUAAGUCUGUCGUGAAAGCCCUGGGCUCAACCUGGGAACUGCGAUGGAAACUGGGCGACUAGAGUGUGGUAGAGGGUAGCGGAAUUCCUGGUGUAGCAGUGAAAUGCGUAGAUAUCAGGAGGAACAUCCAUGGCGAAGGCGGCCUACUGGGCACCAACUGACGCUGAGGCUCGAAAGUGUGGGUAGCAAACA
rnacentral:rRNA from 1 species